rnacentral:rRNA from 1 species
CCUACGGGUGGCAGCAGUGGGGGAUAUUGCACAAUGGGGGGAACCCUGAUGCAGCGACGCCGCGUGGGUGAAGAAGUGCCUCGGCGCGUAAAGUCCUGUCAGCAGGGACGAAAAUGACGGUACCUGAAUCAGAAGCCCCGGCUAACUACGUGCCAGCAGCCGCGGUAAUACGUAGGGGGCGAGCGUUAUCCGGAUUUACUGGGUGUAAAGGGUGCGCAGACGGCGAUGCAAGUCAGGAGUGAAAGCCGGGGGCUCAACCCCAGGACUGCUCUUGGAACUGCGUGGCUGGAGUGCAGGAGGGGCAGGCGGAAUUCCUGGUGUAGCGGUGAAAUGCGUAGAUAUCAGGAGGAACACCGGUGGCGAAGGCGGCCUGCUGGACUGCAACUGACGUUGAGGCCCGAAAGCGUGGGGAGCAAACAGGAUUAGAUACCCGUGUAGUC